UACGAAGGGUGCAAGCGUUGCUCGGAAUUAUUGGGCGUAAAGGGUAGGUAGGUGGUGACAUUUGUCUGGGGUGAAAUCCCUGAGCUUAACUCAGGACGUGCCUUGGAAACGGUGUCACUAGAGUGCUAGAGAGGUUCGUAGAAUUCCCGGUGUAGCGGUGAAAUGCGUAGAGAUCGGGAGGAAUACCAGAGGCGAAGGCGGCGAACUGGAUAGCAACUGACACUCAACUACGAAAGCGUGGGGAGCAAACAGG
rnacentral:rRNA from 1 species